GACGAACGCUGGCGGCGUGCUUAACACAUGCAAGUUGAACGAAGUGGCGAACGGGUGAGUAAUACGUGGGUAACCUGCCCUCCUUUUUGGGAUAAUCCUUGGAAACGGGGUCUAAUAACGAAUAAAGGGGGAUGGGCUCGCGGCCUAUCAGCUUGUUGGUGGGGUGAUGGCCUACCAAGGCGGUGACGGGUAGCUGGCCUGCGAGGGUGAUGGGCGACAAUGGGACGGAGAGACGGCCAAGACGCCUACGGGAAGGAGCAGGGGGGGAUAUUGGACAAUGGGCGAAAGCCUGAUGCAGAGACGAAGCGUGGGGGAUGAAGGCUUUCGGGUUGUAAACCUCUUUCGCUAGGGAACGGGUAGGAGGAGAAGAAGCGCCGGCUAACUACGUGCCAGCAGCCGCGGUAAUAC
rnacentral:rRNA from 1 species